rnacentral:tRNA from 1 species
GGAUAGCUCAGUUAGUAGACCAUGAGGCUCUUAAUCUCAAGGCCAUGGGUUUAAGCCCCAUGUUGGGCA